rnacentral:rRNA from 1 species
CCGAGAAUCUUCCGCAAUGGGCGAAAGCCUGACGGAGCGACGCCGCGUGUAGGAUGAAGGCCUUCGGGUUGUAAACUACUGUCACUUGGGAAGAAACUUAUUACGGUGAACAAUCGUAGUAAUUGACUGUACCGAGAGAGGAAGCCAUGGCUAACUCUGUGCCAGCAGCCGCGGUAAUACAGAGAUGGCUAGCGUUGUUCGGAUUGAUUGGGUGUAAAGGGUGCGUAGGCGGUUUGGAAAGUCGGAUGUGAAAUCCUAUGGCUUAACCAUAGAAUUGCAUUCGAAACUUCUAGACUAGAGUGCGAGAGAGGUAAAGGGAAUUCCCGGUGUAAGAGUGAAAUCUGUAGAGAUCGGGAGGAACACCAGUAGCGAAGGCGCUUUACUGGCUCGUAACUGACGC